AGUGAACGUUGGCGGCGUGGAUUAGGCAUGCAAGUCGAGCGAGAACCGUAGCAAUACGGGGCCAGCGGCGAAAGGGACAGUAAUGUGUAGGUACCUACCCCGAGGUCUGGGAUAGCUGCGGGAAACUGCAGGUAAUACCGGAUAAUGUCUUCGGACCAAAGGUGUGAUUCCACCUUGGGAGGGGCCUGCAUCCUAUUAGCUUGUUGGCGGGGUAACGGCCCACCAAGGCGACGAUGGGUAGCGGGUGUGAGAGCACGACCCGCGUCAUUGGGACUGAGACGCUGCCCAGACACCUACGGGUGGCUGCAGUCGAGGAUCUUCGGCAAUGGGCGCAAGCCUGACCGAGCGACGCCGCGUGCGGGAUGAAGGCCUUCGGGUUGUAAACCGCUGUCGUAGGGGAGGAAAUGCAGGUGGGUUCUCCCCCCUGUUUGACCUAUCCUAGGAGGAAGUACGGGCUAAGUUCGUGCCAGCCGCCGCAGUAAUAC
rnacentral:rRNA from 1 species